GAAAUGCGAUAAGUAGUGUGAAUUGCAGAAUUCAGUGAAUCAUCAAAUCUUUGAACGCACAUUGCGCCCCUCGGCAUUCCGUGGGGCAUGCCUGUUCGAGCGUCAUCUACACCCUCAAGCUCUGCUUGGUGUUGGGCGUCUGUCCCGCCUCCGCGCGCGGACUCGCCCCAAAUGCAUUGGCAGCGGUUCCUUGCCCCCCUCUUUGCGCAGCACAUUGCCAUUCGAGGCGGCGGCGGCCCGCGUCCAACAAGCUCAACCCCCCCGUCUUUGACCUCGGAUCAGGUAGGGAUACCCGCUGAACUUAAGC
rnacentral:misc_RNA from 1 species